CUUGCAAACGCCUACAAUGAAAUUUGCGAAGUUUUUUCGGUUUCGGCGCCAUUUUCGAGUGGACUCGGAGGAAUCGUGCUUCCAGAUCUGUCCCUUGUUGUUUAAAACUGGAUGAGAUGACAAUGCAAAAAAAUGGAAGUAACAAGAAGCAUCAUACUUUUCUUCUCCUCAGCAGUGCUGAGAAAAAACUGUGGAUCCUGGAAUUUUACUGUGGAUUUUACUGGUUUUCUGGAGCACUGUAAGUUGAAGUCGGAUCCUGCAGGCCUUUGCGAGCACCAGGAGCUUUCCCUCCUGUUACCAGGCCCGUCUUGGUAAACGCAGUCAGCCCUGCUAGGAGCAGAGUUUGGGUCAAGUUUCGAGUCGAGUAAAAUUAACGAAUUUAUUUCUUACAUGGACUGAAUUUACCCGGUGUAGCUGCAGCGUGGCUCCGGGUGUUCUGCCCUCAGCAAGGGCGCGUCGAAGCGGCGCGGGCUGACACGCAGAGCUCCCGCUGGAGCAGUGACUGCCCUGCGCCAAGCGAGGUGCCCGUGGAAGGAGCCGAGGCGUCAGCGCUCGCAGGUGAGUUGGAAAGGUAAGUGCCAGCACCCGUGUCUGGCCCGCUGUGAGGCGCUCGCAGCAUCCGCCUCCCUCUGGGUCAGCGCAGGUCCUCCGGGAGAGGUCAGGGUAAAACUCCAGUCGGCUGCCGUCCUUCUGACUUAAUAGUGAGAACCCAGAGCGCAAAGCAAGCUUGAAACGUUCUGAAAAAAAAGCUCAAGUGUGCGAUGAGGUGAUUCAAACACAGAGCUUUGUAUUGCUUAAUGUCAUUCUUCUCUCGUGUCAAAAACGCGCACGUUUUGUCAGAUACAUAUUUCACCGCCUGUCCCAAAUUUCCAGCUGCCCAGUGUUCAGUGUGAGUGUUGCUCGUCCUUGGGCGUGUAUUGAAACCUUACUUGGGGAAACUCAUCCUUCCUGAAGAGCUCUUGCCCCCCUUGUCGAACUAGACUAGAAACUUUCUUAUUUUUAUCUAUAUACGUAUACAUGUGUAUGUAUACAUGUGUAUCUUAUGUGUGUGUAUAUAUAUAUAUAUAUAAAUAGAAAUUUGUUAAAAGGUGAACCCCAAACACAGAAGAGAUUCUAAAACUGAACUUGUUUACUAUUGCUUUUUUUUUUUUUUUGAGCCACUUGAAGAGAUGAAAGAAAUAAGACUACACAGGUACGGUCAUGUCAAAUUGUUAAAGGAAAAAAAGGUAAAAUUAUGUGGGGGGUUGUUUUGUCUUAGCUUGUACAGGUUUAACUUUGGGUACUUGUCAGCUUCUUUGCAGUAAAUAGCAGUUGCUCUUUAUAGAGUUGGAACUAGUGCUAUCAGUAUCGAGGACGCUGAAGUGGGUGAAAAAAGAAUUGUUGGCAAAAAAUUGCAUUGGCAAAUAUUUAAUUUAAAAUUUGAAAUAAUUUGGCACAGGUCCUGAAACCUUUUGAAAUUCCUAUUUUUAAAUUUGUGAAAAAGGCAGGGGCUACUAAGAGGUGGACAAACGGGGACUCAGAUAACCAGUGUGCUCACUGCAAGGGACGGCACGAGGAUUUGAACUAAUUGCGUCAUUUCUGACAUUGUUCUCUUUUUUUUUUUGUGAUGCUGCUUUUUAAGAAAAUGAAUUGAAGGAAGUUGUCACAUAACUGGAAAAAAAGUCAAAAGGAAACACAAAAAUGUCAGGCUAUCUGCACGGCUUCGGUAUGGGUACUUGCAAGGGCCUCUGGCGGCUCUGUGCUUCAGAGUUACAGCUGCUCUCUGCCCUGCGCUGUUAGGUUUCUGCUCAGGUACAGGGAGGGGAGGUGAUGAAGUUUCAGAGUAUCUUUAAUUUUUGGUUGCAUACGAUUUAUCCAUUCAAAUAGUAAAUGAGCAUAAUAGUUUGUUUUUUUUUUUUAAAAAAAAAAAAAAGGGUAUUUCCCAAAAGUCGAAAUAGUUUAAGGAGAUUUUAAUAGGUUUGCCCUGUUGGAAUGUGUAUUUAAAUACUAGCAUUGCAACUCCUGGAAAACACAGGAUGUUCAGCAGCCCCUAAGAGGAAGGUACAGCGUGACGUUUGCAAAUAGAGUGUUUGGAAGGCUGGAAAGGUCUGCAGGAUCUUUACAGCAGCAAAAGCAGCAGAUCUAGAUCUGAAAGCGUAGAUUUGCCAAGACCCAAGUGUUGUGUUCUUGGGGGGUGGGAGGGAUGGCUUAUUUCUGUUUGUUUGUUUGCACUGUGUAACUGCUUGUUCUUUAUAGUUACAGACUUUAUGAUAGCACCUGUGAAGGAAAAAAAAAAAAAAGUCCCGUGGUGGUAAUGCAUGCACGUUAAAUGUCUUCAUUGUAGAGUGUUCUUCAGUACCUUAUAUCAUGGUUUAAAAAAAAAAAAUCAAAAUACCAUUUGGAAUGUCAACAUUCAGUGGGCUUUGAGGAGAUGUAGCAGCACAUCAUGGUUUGUAGGGACAAGGAGAUACAGACCAUUCUGGGCUGCCUCAUUACCUCAAGGAUAAGACAAGAAAGUGAGCUUCUGGUUAUCAUAGAUGUGGAAGCUAACGCAUUCCCAUGUAUCUCUUUAGUUCAGUUGAACAGGUAUGUGUAGAUAAGUCUUCUCAGUGCUGACGUGCACAUCUUUGCAGCUACAAAUACAUGCCAUAUGAGCCUGCGUUUGUGUGUCUCAGUGGGGCUGGCCCUGCGGGCAGAAGGACUUGCAGCUCCUUUUGUUCUUCAGGGCGGGGAUGGCUUGAUCUUGGCUUGAGCAUAAUGCCUCCAGCUGGCGCGUUACCCCUCAAGCCCUGUUCAAGGUAAUGCUCCUGCUCUUCAGCCCUUGCCCCAG